GAUGAACGCUGGCGGCGUACUUAACACAUGCAAGUCGAACGAAGCACCUUACUCAGAUUUCUUCGGAAUGAAAAAUUUGGUGACUGAGUGGCGGACGGGUGAGUAACGCGCGGGUAACCUGCCUCAUACAGGGGGAUAACAGUUAGAAAUGACUGCUAAUACCGCAUAAGACCACAGCACCGCAUGGUGCAGGGGUAAAAACUCCGGUGGUAUGAGAUGGACCGGCGUCUGAUUAGGUAGUUGGUGGGGUAACGGCCUACCAAGCCGACGAUCAGUAGCCGACCUGAGAGGGUGACCGGCCACAUUGGGACUGAGACACGGCCCAAACUCCUACGGGAGGCAGCAGUGGGGAAUAUUGUACAAUGGGGGAAACCCUGAUGCAGCGACGCCGCGUGAGCGAUGAAGUAUUUCGGUAUGUAAAGCUCUAUCAGCAGGGAAGAAAAUGACGGUACCUGACUAAGAAGCACCGGCUAAAUACGUGCCAGCCGCCGCCGUAA
rnacentral:rRNA from 1 species